GAUUUCUGGUAUAGUGCGCUUGGCCCGCCACGGUUUCGUGUGUUAGUGCUUGAUGUUCUGGCCAUCCUUCCAAUUGCUAUUCAUCUUUCUUCAUUGAUGGGUGAGUGGUAUUGGAUCUUUUACUUUGAAAAAAUUAGAGUGUUUCAAGCAGGCUUAAUGCUAUGAAUACAUUAGCAUGGAAUAAUAAUUUAGGACUUCGGUUCUAUUUUGUUGGUUUCUAGGACUGAAGUAAUGAUUGAUAGGGAUAGUUGGGGGUGCUAGUAUUCAGCGGCCAGAGGUGAAAUUCUCGGAUUCGCUGAAGACUAACUUAUGCGAAAGCAUU
rnacentral:rRNA from 1 species